rnacentral:lncRNA from 1 species
UCUACACACCUAGCUCUCAACAUUCCUCUCUAAAAUAUAUGACUCUGUUUACUAGUGUAAGGAUCAAAAGGAUCACAUGUGGCUUCCAUGAAAAGAAAGGUAUCUUAAAAUUGUUGUGCAUAAAAUAUACAAUUCAAAGGAAUUACAUAGAGUUAUAAAUAAUAUAGAAAAUAAAAAGAUCAAUGGUCCAUAAGGCGAUGCAAUGAUAAACCACCAAAAAGUCCUGAGAUUCUUUCUAUGCUAGCCACGUAUGAAGAACUCCAAGCCAAACGCUAUUCCUUCGGUUGUAUUUUUCCUUGAAUCUAAAGGACAAAAAUAGGGCCUCACAGUUUGAGAGAAUCAUUCACUUUGUCUAGC